AACAGAAUGCCUGAUUAAAAAGGAUUACUUUGAUAGAGUAAAAUAUGUAACCCAAGUUACUUCUGUUA
rnacentral:tRNA from 1 species